rnacentral:rRNA from 1 species
UCGCUGCCGACCGAAAGGGAAUGGGGUCAAUAUUCCCCAACCCGGACACGGAGAGAGAGCCCUCGGGCUCGAGUGCGGUAACGCAACCGAACUCGGAGACGUCGACGGAAGACCCGGGGAAGAGUUGUCUUUUCUUUGUAAGAGUUCGUGUCCCUGGAAUCGGCUCGUCCGGAGAUAGGGACGCUGUUCUCGUAAAAGCACCGCGGCUCUUGCGGUGUCCGGUGCGCUUCUGUCGGCCCUUGCAAAUCCGAGGGAGAUGGUGUGAUUUUCGUGCCGGUCCGUACCCAUAUCCGCAGCAGGUCUCCAAGGUGAACAGCCUCUAGUCGAUAGAACAAUGUAGGUAAGGGAAGUCGGCAAGUUCGAUCCGUAACUUCGGGACAAGGAUUGGCUCUGAGGACUGGGCCCGUCGGGCUGGGGUCCGAAGCGGGUGUGGCACUGCACCGGGACUGGGCGAGACUGGCCGGGGCAACCCGGUCCGGUUCGGCCCGGACCAGCGUCGGGGCCUUCCCGUGGAAUGCCUCAGCUGCGCGGCGGACCGGGCAUCAGUCCGGACCGACCGUUUCGGCGGGCAACUAACAGCCGACUCAGAACUGGCACGGACUAAGGGAAUCCGACUGUCUAAUUAAAACAAAGCAUUGCGAUGGCCGGUGACCGGUGUUGACGCAAUGUGAUUUCUGCCCAGUGCUCUGAAUGUCAAAGUGAAGAAAUUCAACGAAGCGCGGGUAAACGGCGGGAGUAACUAUGACUCUCUUAAGGUAGCCAAACGCCUCGUCAUCUAAUUAGUGACGCGCAUGAAUGGAUUAACGAGAUUCCCACUGUCCCUAUCUACUAUCUAGCGAAACCGCAGCCAAGGGAACGGACUUGGCAAAUUCACUGGGGAAAGAAGACCCUUUCGAGCUUGACUCUAGUCUGACUUUGUUCUAAGGCAUUAUUGGCGUAGUCUAGGUGGGAGUCCUUCAAUGGGCGAAAUUGUGAAAUACCACUACUUUGAUCGCCUUGGGACUUAUUCGGUGAUGUUCCUAAUCGUCCCUCAUCGAGGGACGAACGUAUGUGCUUUAAGUCCUCGCCGUUCGAGUGUUGGACGAGGAACUCCGAAGACAGCGUCAGGCAGGCAGUUUGUCUGGGGCGGAACAUCUGUCAAAUGGCAACGCAGGUGUCCCAAGGCCGGCUCAGUCGGGACGGAAACCCGGCGUGGAGCAAAGGGGCAAAAGCCGGCUCGAUCCCGUUCUUCAGCAGGGAAGGGGACCUGGAAACAGGGGCCCAUCGAUCCUUUCUUUUGUGUGCCCUCCGGGGUACGAUGUGAGAGUCUCACGGGAGAGGUGUCGGAAAAGUUACCGGAGGGAUAACUGGCUCGUGGCGGCUGAGAGUUCAUAUCGACGUCGCUUAUUGAUUCUUCGAUGUCGGCUCUUCCUAUCAUUGCGAAGCAGAAUUCGCAAAGCGUUGGAUUGUUCACCCACUAACAGGGAACGUGAGCUGGGUUUAGACCGUCGUGAGACAGGUUAGUUUUACCCUGGUGAAGACGGGUCGUGGCUACGGGAAAACUUGCCCAGUACGAGAGGAACCGUAGGUUGGGACAUUUGGUACUGCGCUCGGUGGGGCCGCCGGUGGCGCGAAGCUACCAUCCCGUGGGAGAACGGCUGAACGCCUCUAAGUCGGAAACCCUCCCGGCGAGUGUCGGGAUACUUCCGGCCCCGCGCGUCGAACGGCCUUUCCUAGGGGCCGCACGUUGGUCCUCUCCUCGUCGCGGGGAGGGGUGCGAGCGUCGGUUCCGAAGAAGCCCCUUCGUACGCCUGGACAGAUGACGGACCCCCCUCCCAGACUGCCGGGGGUCCUGUCCCUACGAGCCUGCCUCCGGGCGGGUGCGAUGUGUGUGGGUCGAGAGUCGUCUGCAGACGACUUUCGUUCUGGACGGGGUGUUGU